rnacentral:rRNA from 1 species
UACAGAGGUGGCAAGCGUUGUUCGGAAUUAUUGGGCGUAAAGGGCGCGUAGGCGGCAUGGCAAGUGGAAGGUGAAAUCCCUCGGCUCAACUGAGGAACUGCCCUCCAAACUGCUUUGCUUGAGUCCGGGAGAGGUGAGUGGAAUUCCCAGUGUAGCGGUGAAAUGCGCAGAUAUCAGGAGGAACACCCGUAGCGAAGGCGGCACUCUGGGCCGGAACUGACGCUGAGGAGCGAAAGCGUGGGGAGCGAACAGG